CCUACGGGUGGCAGCAGUGGGGAAUAUUGGACAAUGGGGGGAACCCUGAUCCAGCGACGCCGCGUGAGUGAAGAAGUAUUUCGGUAUGUAAAGCUCUAUCAGCAGGGAAGAACGAAAUGACGGUACCUGACUAGGAAGCCCCGGCUAAAUACGUGCCAGAAGCCGCGGUAAUACGUAGGUGGCAAGCGUUGUGCGGAGUUACUGGGUGUAAAGGGCGUGCAGCCGGGAAGACAAGUCAGAUGUGAAAUCCCGCGGCUCAAUCGCGGAACUGCAUUUGAAACUGUUUUUCUUGAGUACCGGGGAGGUCAUCGGAAUUCCUUGUGUAGCGGUGAAAUGCGUAGAUAUAAGGAAGAACACCAGUGGCGAAGGCGGAUGACUGGACGGCAACUGACGGUGAGGCGCGAAAGCGUGGGGAGCAAACAGGAUUAGAUACCCCGGUAGUC
rnacentral:rRNA from 1 species